GCGUGAGUGAGGAAGGCCUUAGGGUUGUAAAGCUCUUUCGCGCGCGACGAUGAUGACGGUAGCGCGAGAAGAAGCCCCGGCUAACUUCGUGCCAGCAGCCGCGGUAAUACGAAGGGGGCGAGCGUUGUUCGGAUUUACUGGGCGUAAAGGGCGCGCAGGCGGCUCGUUUUGUCAGGCGUGAAAGCCCCGGGCUCAACCUGGGAGGUGCGUUUGAUACGGACGGGCUAGAGUUCGGGAGAGGAGCGUGGAAUUCCCAGUGUAGAGGUGAAAUUCGU
rnacentral:rRNA from 1 species